UACGUAGGGGGCAAGCGUUGUCCGGAUUUAUUGGGCGUAAAGCGCUCGCAGGUGGUCCGAUGCGUCGUGCGUGAAAGACCCUGGCUCAACUGGGGAGUGUCGUGCGAUACGGUCGGACUGGAGGCCAGUAGGGGGAUGCGGAAUUCCGGGUGUAGUGGUGGAAUGCGUAGAGAUCCGGAGGAACACCAGCGGCGAAGGCGCUCUGCUAGGCCGUAACUGACACUGAGGGACGAAAGCUAGGGGAGCGAAUGGG
rnacentral:rRNA from 1 species